rnacentral:rRNA from 1 species
UUAAAUUGAAGAGUUUGAUCAUGGCUCAGAUUGAACGCUGGCGGCAGGCCUAACACAUGCAAGUCGAACGGUAACAGGAAGCAGCUUGCUGCUUUGCUGACGAGUGGCGGACGGGUGAGUAAUGUCUGGGAAACUGCCUGAUGGAGGGGGAUAACUACUGGAAACGGUGGCUAAUACCGCAUAACGUCGCAAGACCAAAGAGGGGGACCUUCGGGCCUCUUGCCAUCAGAUGUGCCCAGAUGGGAUUAGCUAGUUGGUGAGGUAACGGCUCACCAAGGCGACGAUCCCUAGCUGGUCUGAGAGGAUGACCAGCCACACUGGAACUGAGACACGGUCCAGACUCCUACGGGAGGCAGCAGUGGGGAAUAUUGCACAAUGGGCGCAAGCCUGAUGCAGCCAUGCCGCGUGUAUGAAGAAGGCCUUCGGGUUGUAAAGUACUUUCAGCGGGGAGGAAGGUGUUGUGGUUAAUAACCGCAGCAAUUGACGUUACCCGCAGAAGAAGCACCGGCUAACUCCGUGCCAGCAGCCGCGGUAAUACGGAGGGUGCAAGCGUUAAUCGGAAUUACUGGGCGUAAAGCGCACGCAGGCGGUCUGUCAAGUCGGAUGUGAAAUCCCCGGGCUCAACCUGGGAACUGCAUUCGAAACUGGCAGGCUUGAGUCUUGUAGAGGGGGGUAGAAUUCCAGGUGUAGCGGUGAAAUGCGUAGAGAUCUGGAGGAAUACCGGUGGCGAAGGCGGCCCCCUGGACAAAGACUGACGCUCAGGUGCGAAAGCGUGGGGAGCAAACAGGAUUAGAUACCCUGGUAGUCCACGCCGUAAACGAUGUCUACUUGGAGGUUGUGCCCUUGAGGCGUGGCUUCCGGAGCUAACGCGUUAAGUAGACCGCCUGGGGAGUACGGCCGCAAGGUUAAAACUCAAAUGAAUUGACGGGGGCCCGCACAAGCGGUGGAGCAUGUGGUUUAAUUCGAUGCAACGCGAAGAACCUUACCUGGUCUUGACAUCCACAGAACUUUCCAGAGAUGGAUUGGUGCCUUCGGGAACUGUGAGACAGGUGCUGCAUGGCUGUCGUCAGCUCGUGUUGUGAAAUGUUGGGUUAAGUCCCGCAACGAGCGCAACCCUUAUCCUUUGUUGCCAGCGGUCCGGCCGGGAACUCAAAGGAGACUGCCAGUGAUAAACUGGAGGAAGGUGGGGAUGACGUCAAGUCAUCAUGGCCCUUACGACCAGGGCUACACACGUGCUACAAUGGCGCAUACAAAGAGAAGCGACCUCGCGAGAGCAAGCGGACCUCAUAAAGUGCGUCGUAGUCCGGAUUGGAGUCUGCAACUCGACUCCAUGAAGUCGGAAUCGCUAGUAAUCGUGGAUCAGAAUGCCACGGUGAAUACGUUCCCGGGCCUUGUACACACCGCCCGUCACACCAUGGGAGUGGGUUGCAAAAGAAGUAGGUAGCUUAACCUUCGGGAGGGCGCUUACCACUUUGUGAUUCAUGACUGGGGUGAAGUCGUAACAAGGUAACCGUAGGGGAACCUGCGGUUGGAUCACCUCCUUACCUUAAAGAAGC